rfam:Eucalyptus grandis cultivar BRASTZ1 unplaced genomic scaffold scaffold_7, whole genome shotgun sequence.
GUUGCUUCCUAAUGGUGAACUCCCUCUAAAAUUCAAAGAUGAGGGAUGUUUCAAGUUUCCGAAGCAUAGAUUGAACGAUUUCCAAUCAGUGUUUAACAGCGCCGGUGCUUCUAUUUCGCGUCGCACCGGCGCUACCUGUCUGCUGAUACAUCA